GCCCAGGUGGUGAAACUGGUAUACACGUCACCUUGAGGUGGUGGUGGGAGCAAUCCCGUGGAGGUUCGAGUCCUCUCCUGGGCACCA
rnacentral:tRNA from 1 species